UAAUGUAGUUAUAUAGUUAUAUUGAUCAUGUAUAAAAUAAUGUAGAAUUAUUUCCAAACAUAAAAAUAUAAGAUGUAAAUAUUCUAAAGGAAAUGAUGGGGCAAAUAUUUAAAUAACUAAUGGCUAUAUAUUAUUAGGAAUACAGUCUCUCAAGAACCACCAUAUAAAAAGGAUAUUUUAAGGAAAUCUUGGCAUAAAGUAAUUUGGAGGCACUCAUAGCUAACCGUUCGCAUCUGAUUAAACUCUUUUAUCUGAUUCAAUUUUUUAUGCAUCACCCCUAUCUCCAAGUCAUCUAUCCCCAAAUAUCCCUUUCAUAUUACAUAGUAAAGAUUUGCUGAGCUUUUUCUCUGCAGUAUUGAAAAAUCCUUUGACUUCUCAUGAUUUCUCACCCACAACACAAACAAUUAUUACUUUUGUCACUUACUGUCCUUACACCUGUGGGAGCAAUAAUACUUAGUAAGAUUAACUUCUGUGAAUAACUUAUCUGAGGGAAACCCAUGAUAUCCUUAUUAAAGAAGCAAUGGAAAGAUCACAAUGAGCAUUUAAAAAUUUAUUUAUUAGCUUUAAAUAUGCAAAAGACCAAGAUGACUUAAGUUUGAAAAUAUAUUUAUACUUGAUGAAGUGCCAUUGUUCUACUACAAAUAGCACUUCUAUUAUCAAACAACUCUUUCUCUAGAUCAGAGUUAAUUGAAAAUCAUCAAAAAUAUUUAGGGUCAUGCUCUGGUGGGAAGAGUAUGGUAAGGGUAGAAAUUCAGUUUGGGGAUACAAAAUUAGGGGGUAAGAGUACUGCAUUUCAAGGCUGUGAAUGUUUGGAUAGCAAUAAUUCCACAAAAGAAACAGAACAUAAGCAUAUAAACAAACAGAACUGAGCCGCCUCACAGAAACCCUGGGAGCCUCAAGUUGCUAAAAUAGUUUCCCAUAUGUCUGAGAGUUCUGCAGAUGGACACAGGAGUCAAUAUAAUUAGAAUGGCCUUCUGGCUGGAAAAGAUGCUAUCAAGGCUAUGUUGGAUGCUGCAACCAGGAGCUAGAAAGGAAUGUAGAUGUCUCAGCAGAGACCAUCACAAACAAUUUCAAAACCUGGGAUAGCUAGAAAACUUUUUCCAUGUUGGAUGCAAGGAAAACUGACAUCUUAACUGAGAUCCCUCAAGAAUUAAAAUGAGAGGGGUUCAGUGAUAACCCUAGUGUCUAAAAUGCCCACUUCCUCUUCUUGAACACCUAGAUUGAUUCCAGGCUCUGACCCUGAGUUCUUCUUCCUACCAAAGCAGACCCCAGGAAGCAGUGAUAAUAGAUCCAGUAAUUGAAUACUUGCCUUCUAUAUGAAAUUGACCCAGAAAAAUUCUUUGUGGGAAGUCAGGGGGUGAACCAAUUGAUGAGAGGCGUUUCUGCUUUUGUUUCUCAAAUUCAUUAAAUAAAAAAUAAGAAUUAGAAGUAGAGAAACAGGUAUGAAUGUUAGAAAUUUGCUUUGCAAGUCAAGAAAACACUGUUUUCUCUUGAAAUGCUACUUUUAAUAUCAGCAGAUUAUAUUUCCAUUAUCACAUAGUUUGAGCUAAGUCAUGCAAAAACCAGGCCAUUUUAUUUAUUCUUAUUAAAUUCUGUGGUCAUACUUAAAACACCAUAGGGUCAUAAUGUACUGAAAUUCGUGGGCUGGGAGUCAAAGGAUACAACAGAGGCUAAUAAUACAAGUGUAUGGGUUACCUCUUUCUAAGAAAUGUCUCAGGACCAAAUGAGUAGGCACUGUUUAUUUUAUAGAAUGAAUUAAUGUUUUGCCAAACAAGGUUUAGGGAUGACAGGCCUGCUAUACUUCAUACCCAUAUCAGGAUUGUUGACACCAACUGCUGUAACUUUGUGUCCUGCAUAUAGCAUUCAUUCUCUACUAGCAUUCUGUAGCAUGUAUGGAUGUGCUUUUCACAAAGGAACGGUUUUCCACUAAUGCCAGCGUGUAAUUCAUUUGGAAACAAAAUUCUAAUUUAUGGAAAUUAUGGUCCAAUUCUUUAAAGGAGUUAAGUCUUGCACAACACACCACAAAUCUACUAUGGGUACCAUCAGCAGCUUCAGAUAUUCUGGACCACACUAUUUAAUUGGUGGGAUUGCAAAUACUAAAGCUUGAAUCUUAUGCAAAACAUUUCUUCUGCACCCUACUGAGGGCAAAUUUCAAAGUUAUUAAUAAAUAAUUUAGAGCCAUCUUCAUACAGGUAGUAGUGUAGUCCUCAGAAAACAAAGAAAUUUACCAAAAGCUGUAUUGAUUUCUUUGUAGUAGCAGAUGUAAGGUGCAACAAUUUGCCUUUUACUUCAAAAAUUGGGAUGCAAUGCACCAUUAGCAUUGGUUCCUAUAAAUUUGAGGAUAACACCAAAGUUUAUCAUCUACCUAGAUGUAAUAUUGCCUAGGAUUUAUUAUCUAGACUUAAGCACAGGAAAAUAUUACUAGAGCUUCCACGUACAUCUUCCAUUUUGUAUACUAAGGUACCAGAGAAAUGAACAGCAUGGUUAAAUGACUCAGCGGUUCUUUUGAAAGGUGGAGGUAGAUUGUGUUGCCAUUUGUCUCUGAGGUUCUGUAUUCUGCCACAGAAAUAAAGGAACUGACAGUGCUUGAAAAGAGGGGAAAUUAGAUUCAUUUCAAAAUUUUGAUAUACCAAAUUUGGUAUCACUAAUUUAUCUAAUCCAUAGCCAGGAUAGUGUACUACAUCAUGCACAGUAUCUGCCCAUGUUUCAUGGCUUUAGCAUGUAAAUGAUGAUGGGAGAGGGAGUACACAGAAAGGAGCUAGAUAUAUAACCUCCAAACCAGCCACAGAACCUAAAACUACUGAAGAAUCCAUUCUCUCUCACUCUACACACACACACAUUCUCUCUCUCACACACAGUCACUAUUUUAUAUGGUUGAUUAGGAGUUAUGUACAAUAAUCAAUAACAAUUAUUUUGUAACUUUGCUUGAAUAAUAUAUUAAAUGUAGACCGAUACAACUAUAGUUCCUAAUGUUCAAUCAUUAAAAUCAUGUUACUAACAUUGUCAAUAUGAUGUUUUAUCUGUAAAUGAGAAAUCUAUAUAGUGUAUUAUAAUUCCUCAUGUGAAAUUCCUUGAAGAUUUUAUACAGAAGUCAGAAAUUACAUUCCUCAGAGUAAGGAUUAGAGCAAGGAUUAUAGCUAUGGAGCUAUCAACUCUACAAACCACUUUCUCUUGUAUGACCAUAAUGGAGGAUUGGAGCAAUUUUAAAUGCAAUAACAAAAAAUAAUAUCUCUGGAAAAUACUGAGAAAUAGACAUAUGCUGGGAUAACUAAGAAUUUGUGAGAAAGAUUACAGCCAGAAUUUGAAAAAAUACACAGAGAACACUCUAAUGACAAAUUGUAUCCUUUGGUAAAUGUGUAAUCAAGUAUUGCUGUAUUAGAAAUCAAAACCCGAGGGAAUUUAUGCAGUCAAACCCUAAGAGCAGUAAUAAUCACAGCAACAAAAACAAACCCAAGAAGCUAAAAACUAAUUUAGGGACCUACCAUUAUUACUGGGUUAUGGCAUAUUCUGGCAUCUGCAAGCUACUUCACUUUGGAAACUUAAUUUCAUGCUUGCCUACACCUGUAAAACUUUUGAGUGAAGGGUCUUGUUGAGGUUUGGAAUGGUCAAAGAAAUGCCAAAACUGUGAUUAAAGAAAGGCAAGGAAAAAUUGUCAACAUCAAAGAAGUUAAUGAUAUUUUUCUUUAAAACAUAAAUUACAUUUGUAAACUGAAAAUGUUAACUGUGAAUAUGGUUGAUGCAAACGUCUGUUCAAAACAUUGCACACUGAAUUUUGUGGAGUUUAGUCUUAGAUUUCAAAUCUAGCAUUCCUUUUUACAUCCUGUAGACUAGGAUAAUGAAGCAUAUUUUUUACAAUUUUUAUAUUCUAAGUACUAUAUUUCUUUCAAAUACAUUUGAAGAAAACAUGAGUUCCAAACCUUCCCUAGUUUCACCUAGAAAAGUACAGGUUCAACUUUAUGUAUCUAAAAUGUAAGCAGAUAUAAAUGAGAAACUGAAAAAGUGAUGAACACCAUGUUAUUAAGUAAAGGAACAUGUGGGUGGUCUGUCUAAAUACUGGAUUGAAAAUGUAUCAUACAUACCUGGUAGUGUUUAAAAGGCUGCAUGCGGCUCAGACAUAUAUUAUUGUGAAAUAAUUCUUGGGUUUACAGUGGAAAUGGAUAGGUUUUACCAUGAAGUGGGGGGUAGGACAUUGAAAUAUAAGAGUGAAAAUGUAUGGAAGUACAGAAUUUGGCUGAAGUUUUGUUCAUACAAGCCAUUUUGUCUAAGGGAGCCAAUUCUACCGGCGAUGUGGGCUCAGAAAGUCUACGGAGGAAAGACUUGAUGCCUUGCUGCAAAAAUGCAAUUGACAACCUCCAGCUUUCUCAGCUUCAGAUCUAACUCAGCUACAGACAGCUGCGGUGCCUGAGGCCUUUAGAGUGUGUGGGAGGAGGACUGCAGAUGUCUUAAAUCCACUAAAUAGGUGAGGUGGGGAAUAAAGACCCACCUAUUUCAGCCUGGCUUGGGACAACUUUGUUGAUGCUGUUCUUAUUUGAUAGAUCACAAAUCCAGCUCAGCACCUGUUUCUGGAAAAUCCAGUAUGCAACACAAAGAUACCCAUAUGUUGAAUUCUAGAUUCACUUUGAGCUGUCAUUGAACAUUUUUUCCGGACACCAUCUAUUCUCUGAUGGCACAUGGAAAUUUUGAGAGAGAAAAAAAAAAACUACAUGGUACUACAAACACUAAAAGUUAAAACAACAAACUUCUUGAAAGACAUGGUUUUGUACACAGUAGUCACAUUCAAGUCACACCUAAUCCAGUUUUUCCUUCCAAAUUUCCACAUAUGCUUUCAAUCAGCUACUUUGUCUCAAGAGUAUCAGUGGGCAUUUGGGGAUUAGAAUGUUUGUGAAUGUACUUAUAUUUUCUCUGACUAUCAAAAGAUCACAGUUCCUUAUAGAACAUCAUCAUUUAAAUGAUCUAUCUGAUGUGAAUGCCCACACACUUUUAUUAUUCCUUCUUGUUUGCAUCUUUGCAAAGGCCUGUUAUUUUCACAUCCAGAAAGAGUUAUAAAAUUUAUUUUUGAUGCAUUCAGCAGUGAUGCUUUCAUUAACCUCUUCCCCACUUUCCCAGAGAGAACACGCUAGAAAGGGCUUCUUAUUUUAACACUGUCUUAGAUCUUUCUAAAAUUGGCAAACUUCACUGGGGCAUCAGAGUUUAUUUUCUAGGAACUCUUCUACCUCUGCAUUGAGCCAGUGGAUUUUCUACCUAAAGGAAGCAGAGCAUCAUGAUCACACUCAUAGAAACUCAUUCUAUAAGAUGCAUUCAAAGACAUGAUGCUAACACUGCUACUUAGAACUUCGCAUUAUUGAGUCCUCGUCUGAUCACCAACAGCAUUGGCUAUUUGGGUUAAUGCUUUGAAUUGCCAUGGAAGCACAUCUAAAAAUUACCACUGAUGUUGCCUAGGUACAGUCACUUAGCUUAGUUUUUCUUUUUUAAUUUAGCAUCAUUUUAAAUUAUCUACUUAUUUGUUUAAAUAUAAUAUACCUGCACAUGAUAACAAUUCAAAAUAGGAAAUUCUUCCUUAGUCCCCCACCCACUAUCCAAUGUAAACUAACAUGCUCAUAUUUUAAAAAUAAUUUAGUGUAUAAACUUCAUGUUUUCUGCCUACAUCUUUUCCAAAUGCAACAGAUUUUUCUCAAAAAAAUUCAAUGUAUUUCUCAAGGUCACAGAACUAUUAUGUAAAGGAACCAGAACUGAAUCCAGGUAUUUUUGACUCUAAAUAAGCAUGCUCUUAAUCACAAUAUCCAAAAUAUUAAGAAUAAAUGCAAUUCACAGAUCCCUUGUUAAAAUAAUGAGAUAAGUUGUUCAAGUUUUUAGAAAGUAUCUUUUUCUUGGAUCAAAAUAUUGUCAGAAUACAUAUUUUGUUACAGAAAAAUACCUGCCUGUCACAUGCCAAGAAUAUCCCCUAUAAUAUCCAAAUCAAGGAAGUCUACACUGCAAAAGUCUUCCCACUUCAUGCAGUGCACAACUACAUUAAAACCCUGGUAACAAAUUUCAAGGUUUAGUUUUAAUCUCCAAUUCAGUGAAUUUGAUGGGUUCCAAAGAACAGUCAGCAAAGAAUACACUUCAACCAAAGGGUGAGAUUAAUAACUUUCUAUAAAGUUACUAUUCCUUCUAAAAUGAGAUGAGUAUGCAAGGCUAUUCCUAGCACCAAAAUACUUGUAGAACAUGGAGCCAGAUGGUAGAAAACUUUCAUAGGCAUACAAGAAGUUUUAGGAUUGCAUGAAUAAGAAAUCCUUAUCUACUGAUAUGUAACUAAAGGCAAGGAUUUUGCAGCACAUAUUGUGGAGAAUGUAACCUUCUAAGAGAAAGAAUUCUGAAAACACAAAAAUCAAAAUGAAUUUUAGUUAACGUAGAUGUAGAAAUGUAAAAUUUUACUAAAAUAUCAAGAAUACUCACAUAGGAAAGGGAUAUCUCCAUUCUCUUUAGUGUUAUACAAGAAUACAAACAAAACUAGUACUUGGAUGGACCACAUCAACAAUACCAAAAGACAUCCCUUGGCUAAAUGCUUUUCAUUAGUUUUGGUAAAGUAAAACCAUAUGUUAAUGGAGGGCUUUUUAAGGUCUGUACUUUUAAGUCUCAUGUAACCUGCCACAUAAAUACAUACAUAUUUUGUAGACUGUUAGGGAUUUAUACAUUUAAAACUAGUACAUCUAUACUGUUCACAAAAUAUGGCAUUGAAUAUUGGUUGUUACAUGAAACAAAUACACACUUGGAUUUAUUCUACCAAAUUUGCUACAGCUGCCUUGAUUCUGGAACCAAAAAUAGGCGGUUUAGGUAAGAUGAGCAAUAAAUCACAAUUGAUUCUUGUUUACUAGAGGCUAUGCUUGACUUUGCAUGAGUUUAGUAUUGUUCAUAAUCUGAAAACACAACUUAGUUUUUCUCUCUUGAUUUAAGAUACAUCUCAGAGUUGAGGGUGGCUAGUUACAACUGAUGAGCAUAUUUCAAUAUGCAACUAAUAUGCCCAUUUAGAUCCAUGGAAGCAAAAUGCAUCCAAGGUUAAAAAAAAUGUGGGGUUAAGAAACCAGAAUGGUAAAAUAUCAUCAAUGGCCCUUUCAUGUUAUCCAUCUCUGAAGAGAUGGAAAAGUCUUCGUCCAAACCAUAUUAUUUGCACCCUGUUUAAUCAUGGUGAAUCACUGUACUGUCAUUCUCAGAUUUAGUAUGUGUUGUUUAUAAUAUUUUUCUAUAAAUAUAUUACAUAUGCUUUAUUGAAAAUGCAGAAAGUAGAGAUAAACUUUCAUGAGAAAACUGAAUUUUCUCCAAAUUCUACUAUCAAGAAGUGAACACAUAUCAUUAUGCCACAACAUAGAUCCCAUUUAGUGUAUAUUUUGUUUUAAUUGAAUUUGAUUCCAUUAGAAUGCAAACUAUAUUAGAAAAAACAUUUGAUGGUCUUUUAUCAUUAAAAUCUCCCAUAACCACUUAUCAAUAUGUGAUGUCCACUGAGCUUCAUCCUGCUCCAUUACAUAUUAAAAUUAUAUAUGCCAUUUUGAAGAUAUGCUUUAGAUUUUUGUCUAUUUCUUAUGCUUUAUCCUUAUUUACACAGUAUCCUGGGUGUUUCAGGCUUUGAAUUUUUGCAUAAAUUUUGAUUUAGAGUUUAUCACAGGUCCAUGUAUGCAUUCAACUGUGAUUAUGAGUUUUUAGAUAUAUCUAUAUACAUGGUACAAAGGAGAGAGGUGAGUGGAAUUUGAUGUUCACAUUCUAGAAAUGCACUCCUGAACUUAACAUUGGAAAUAAAAUUGUCAUAACAGUAUGAGAAACUGAUUUUAGUAAGAGUAGGAAAAAAACUUGAAAAAUAAUUAAUUUGGGGAUGGUUGUUUUGUGCAGGUGUUAAUCAUUGAUUAGGGCAUCCACACCCUAUGUCUGAGUCCUUGGAUUCAGGUCCUGAUUCUUCUUCAGCUGCAGCUUCUGACUAAAAUGCACCCUGGAAGUCUGAAGAUGAUGGCUCAAGCACUUGGAUUCUGCCACCCACAUGGGAGAUCUGGACUGAGCUCCAGGUUCCUGACUUCUGCUGCAUCCAUCCCUGGAUCUUACAGGCAAUUGGGGAGUGAACCUGUGGAUGGAAGAUUCUCUUUCUCUUUCUGUUUCUCUUUCUGUUUCUCUUUCUGUUUCUCUUUCUCUUUCUCUUUCUCUCUCUCUCUCUCUCUUUCUCUCUCUCUCUUUAUCAUCUCCAUCUCUAUCUUUAUCUCUGUCUCUAUCAUUUAUCUAUUUCUAUUUCUAUCUCCGAUUUUCAAAUAAAUAUUAAAAAUAGUAAAGUUUGACUCAAAAAUUCUAUUUUUAUGAAACAAAAAUAUAAAUAGAAAGCACUCUUUAUCACCUUAAAUAUUUUAUCUUAAAGUUGCAUCUUUGUGAUUGUUCCAUGGUAACAAAUAGAAAUACGUCUGUGAAAAAUGGUGCUUGGCAUCUCCCUGCACUGCUGCUCUACACUAAGUUAAACAGCUUAGAAAAUAUCUUCACUGUUCUCCUCACAUAAGCAGUUAUAAAACUGACAUCUUUGUUUAUGUGUUUGUGAUGAGUGUGGGUACCUCUGUCUCAAAUCAGAUGGCAUGAGAAUUUUCCACAAAUAAUGUCUAUUUGCUAUUUUAAGAGUCUUGAAAAAUCAAUAUUCUUAUGAAUGGUUUAUGAAAGCAUUCUAGUUAACCUUGCAUGAGGUUAUAACCUUACUUGAGGUUUUAUCUUCAUCAAUUCAGUUGGUGGAAAAGCAGUUUUACUUAUUUUGAAACGUUUCUUCAUUUGUUACUAAUUGGAAUUUAACCAAUUAUUUAUGUUGGGUUACCAUUGUGGUCAAAACAAAUUACUGUACACUUAGUGGUUAAACAACAUAUAUUUAUUCAACAGUAAUAUAUGUCAAAUACCCUGGUGGGCUCAUUUGUAUCCCUUGUCUAGGUUCUCCCAAGGAUAUAAUCGAAAGAUUGACAGAGAUGUCUACUUUACUGGAGCUCUGGAGAAGAUUUCACUUCCAAGCUCAUCCAGGUUUUUGGACAAAUUUUAUUCCUCAUGGUUGUUGGGCUGCAGUCUCCAUUUCCUUGCUAGAUCUCUGUGGAGGUUUGGACUUUGUUCUCCUUUUUGCUGCCCCUCUCUUGUUUCAGCCUGGGGAUGCUUUGUUUGUUUGUUUGUUUGUUUGUUUUGAGGGCUACAUGCAGUUAGACUGUGUCCAACUCAACAGUCCAGAGCAUUUUCUCUGUUUUAAGGUGCUUAAUCUCAACCGCAACUCUAAAUUCCCUUUUAAACAACAUAUUUACAUGUGACAGGAAAUAGACCAUUGACAUAACUGGGGGAGAGGCAUUGUACCUAUCAAACAAAUGUGUUUGAUCAAUCAUUUAAUCCUAGAUCAGAGAAGAAUGUGGACUCAUCUAUUUUAGCCUUAAAUUAUACCUAUCCAAUGCUGAUUGAUGGGAAAAUGAUAUUCUUAAUAUCUUAAAUGAGGAAUUAGACCUUGAAUUAUGCACUGAUAAAUUUUAAUAUAUAAAACCAGCAUAAAUAUGUUCAUAGAGACACAGAUAUUGAGAAAUAUCACCAUUUUUGAGAAAUGUCACUUUAAAAUAAAAUUUUCCACUGUAUUAUAACUACUUACUCAUGACACAAAAUUACGAAUUCAAGAAAUGGGAAAUUUCUAAUGGUUAAGUCAUGUAUAAGGUGUGUGUGUGUGUGAUUUUUACCAUGUUUGUAUAUGUGUCCUAAGGCAACAAUCCCAAUGUCAAUCAAACUUAUUACAAUUAGAAUCAUGAAAUUAUAAGACACUACAACCGGGUUCUAAAUAUGUUCGACAUUGUGCAAGACUGCAUCAUGCUCCUUCACCACCGGAAUCCAUGUCCCAAUCACCAGAACAUGUGAAUAUAUUCUAUUUCAUGGCAAAGGGCAAUUAAAUGAAUGCUUUCGUGAUUCAAAUGCAUAUCUACUUGACACAAUGUCAGCGAGAUUGGUGUAGGAGAGUAAAAGCAUCCAGACAGUUUCUCAGUAAUCACCAUCAUGCAAGCAUGUAGGGUACCGUGGCUCCUCAGCAUUGGCUUAUUUCAGCUUGAAAAAAGAAAAAUGCCACUUGUUUCUUUUAGUAGCUUCUAACU